UAGGGAAUCUUCCGCAAUGGACGCAAGUCUGACGGAGCAACGCCGCGUUAGUGAAGAAGGAUUUCGGUUCGUAAAACUCUGUUGUUAGAGAAGAACAGCGCAUAGAGUAACUGUUAUGCGUGUGACGGUAUCUAACCGGAAAGCCACGGCUAACUACGUGCCAGCAGCCGCGGUAAUACGUAGGUCCCGAGCGUUGUCCGGAUUUAUUGGGCGUAAAGCGCGCGCAGGCGGUUAGAAAAGUCUGAAGUGAAAGGCAGUGGCUCAACCAUUGUAAGCUUUGGAAACUGUUUAACUUGAGUGCGGAAAGGAAGAGUGGAAUUCCAUGUGUAGCGUUGAAAUGCGUAGAUAUAUGGAGGAACACCGGUAGCGAAAGCGGCUCUCUGGUCUGUAACUGACGCUGAGGCUCGAAAGCGUGGGGAGCGAACAGG
rnacentral:rRNA from 1 species